rnacentral:tRNA from 1 species
GGGCGGUUAGCUCAGUUGGUUAGAGCGCUUGCUUUACACGCAAGAGGUCACUGGUUCGAAUCCAGUACUGCCCACCA